UGGGUUUGAAGUGAUAUGUUAGAGAGGUGAUGUGACUUAAAUAAGAUGAUGUGAUUUAAAUAGGAUAGUGACUUUUUGACUUUUUGGAUUUUUUAAGAGUUGCCAAACUUGGCCUAACUUUGGCUGUUCAACAAGGUUUCAUUACUGAGCUGAAAGUGUUUCCAUGCCUUUUAUUGUUCAUAAUCUGUUACAAAUCUUUAUAUUCUUCUGAUUGUGUCAUUUGGUCCAGAGUUAUACACAAUAUAUCCCAUUACCGAUCAGUGAUCUUGAUUCCUGGUUAAAGACACCGUCGAUAUAUGUUUUUGACUGCUCUGCUGCGGGAAUGAUUGUCAAUGCCUUCGUAGAGCUUCAGGAUUGAAGUGCUUCUACUUCUUCUGAAUCUUCCCCAAGGGAUUGCAUUCUGCUUGCAGCCUGUGAAGCACAUGAGACUCUUCCUCAGAGUGCAGAAUUUCCUGCUGAUGUGUUUACGUCAUGCCUCACCACUCCCAUCAAGAUGGCAUUGAGAUGACGAGACAUUUUAUUCAUUUAUUUGAUUUUCAUUACCAACUUUAAUUCUAUUUUCUUUUGUAAACUCUUUUGCUGGCCAGACUGCUAGCUUUGAGCCCCUAUGUUUCUUUCUUGUCUUCGGUAAUGCAUCUUUUAGGUCCAAGCAUCUUCAUGUUUGUUAACACCCUUUUGUCAAAAGAUCCUGAGUAUGUUUUGAGCUGAGUGUACGACAUAAUUUGGACUCUCAUUAAUUGGUUUGAAGGUAGAAUUAAGGAAAGGGCUUAUAUCGCUGUUAUGUUGUUGUUGAAUGAGCUCCUGUGUCAUUGUAAGCUUAUGUUUUUUCUACUAUUAGCAUAAAUGAUAAUUGUGGCUAUUGCCAGCA